rnacentral:misc_RNA from 1 species
CGCAAGCAGGCAAGCUGGUUUGUUGCCGGAGCGCCGCAAGCGCCGUCUCCGGUGGAAAACGGCACCAGCGCAGGUAGCGAGCAGUCGCCGACUCGCCGCCGUGGUUGCCUUGGGGUGGAGUGUGUUGUGUGCGUUCGGCUCCGGAUGGGGUCACGGUGCUGCUGUUGUUGUGGUGCUUCCCGUGUCUUGGUGGUGUGCUCAUUCGGAUGACCAACGCUGGGCCAACGUGCCGACGCCGGUUGUGAUAUGUGCGCGCUCGAUUUGUGGCUAGGAGGACUGCGAAGACGACCCAUUGGAUACCUGCGCGCGACGACAUGUUCCGCUUUCUGAGCAAGCGCUGGAGUAGGCAAGCCAGGGCCGACAAGGCGGGCGCACCGUCUCCGAAGAAUGUCUUGCCCUGCAAAGUGGUCUUACUGGACGGCACUGACCUUAGCGUCGACGUCCCGAAAAAGGCCCUUGGAUCAGUGCUUUUAGAACAAGUGUUUUAUCAUAUUGACUUGAUCGAGAAAGAUUACUUCGGGUUACAAUUCACGGAUCCGUUCCACGUCCAGCACUGGCUUGAUGUCACGAAACAAGUUCGGAAGCAAGUCAAGAUUGGGCCUCCAUACACGUUGCAUUUGAAAGUGAAGUUCUACUCUUCAGAGCCAAACACUCUGCGUGAAGAGCUGACCAGGUAUUUAUUCUUCCUGCAACUGAAGCAGGACAUCCUCUCUGGGAGGCUGCCGUGCAGUUACCAGACGGCAGUCGAACUGAGCGCCUAUGCUCUGCAAUCUGAAUUGGGUGACUAUGACCCUGAGCAGCAUACUCCGGAGUUCGUCUCCGAGUUUAGGUUCACGGAAGACCAAACGGAAGAUAUGGAGCUGGACAUCAUCAAUGCAUUUAAGGAGCUGAAGGGUCAGACACCUGCUCAGGCUGAGAUGAACUACCUGAGCAAGGUUAAGUGGCUUGAAAUGUAUGGAGUUGACAUGCAUACUGUAAUGGGGAAAGAUGGCCAGGAAUACUCGCUAGGCCUCACUCCAACUGGCAUUCUAGUCUUUGAAAAGCAAACCAAGAUCGGCCUUUUCUUCUGGCCGAAAAUUACGCGGCUCGACUUUAAGAGUAAGAAGCUGACACUUGUGGUUGUGGAGGAUGACGACGAGGGUCGUGAGCAAGAACACACGUUUGUGUUCCGCCUCUACAACCCCAAGGCAGCAAAGCACCUGUGGAAAUGUGCUGUGGAACACCAUGCUUUCUUCCGGCUCAAGGAGACCAUGAGAGGACCAAACACUCGGCAGAAUUUCUUCCGCAUGGGCUCCCGUUUUCGAUACAGUGGACGUACAGAGUUCCAAGCCACGCAGAAAAACCGCACGAGGCGUACUGUUCAGUUUGAGCGGCGCCCCAGCCAGCGAUACUCGAGGCGCACCACUAGAGAUAGUCGUCAUCGCGCAUCUCUUCCAAACUGUGUAGCCCUCAAUGCUGCAGAUCCAGAGAACAGCGUGGAAUUGGCCCCAGUAGCACCACUGGAUGUAACAGUGGGACCACUGCUGAUAGAGAACAUCCCAGCAGAUGAUGUGCAAUCUUCUAGCCCUGUUUUAGCCACUGGGGAGGCAGAAAACAGGCUGGACACCCUCAUUCGUUCCCUUGCCAAGGAAACAAGCUCAGCAUCAGACACUAGAAAUGACUUGACUGUCUACAAGAAAGGCGACCUUCCUACAGAACCAGAACCAGAUGCCGAGGAGCUGAGUAGGAGGCUAAAGGCCUUGGACAGUAGCUGCAGUGCAAGCGGGACCAGCUGCAGUAGAAGCAAUAGCAACAGAAGCAACAGCAACAGCUCAGCAGGAAUGAGUGGUGGUAGUGGCAAGGACUGUUGUGCAGCUGGCACUGUCACCGUGGUUUCGUGCGGUGUCAAGAAUAACCAGGCCAAGGCUGGUACGAGCAGUGGCAUGCCCAAGCCUAUACCACCUGACCAGAUGAAGUGCAACAUUCUCAAGGCCAAGGCAGAAGAAGACAAGCGUAAAGUGCCAAGUCUAGGGGUUGUAGGCGAGAAAGUGCCGUUGCUUUUAUCGGACAAUGAAGAUGGAAAGCCACUUGUGGCAGAAAAGUACAAGACCGUCAUUCAUGUGAACGGUGAAUCCAGUGAGUUUGCUGGAGCCAAAGGAACUGCGAAUAGAGAAAAGACAAGACACUGUGAUACGAAGGAUCUCUUGGCCGAUAGUACUGCUGUCCUUAGCAAUGGACAUGCUGGUGACCUAGUGGCUGCACUGCCACAGGGUUCGUCUGCCGGCAGUGGCGCCGCCAGCGCCGCAGGCGGCUGUAGCCCGCUGCCGGCAUGCGCGCACCAGCAGGCACCACGUGCCAUCAGCCCCGAUUCCUCGCAGCUACUCAUUCAGUUUGAUAGCGAGGACGAGGAAACGCUGCCGCCGGCCGGCUGCAAGGCUGACCACCCUGCACUGCUGCUUAACAACAGCAAUCACAGCAAUCCCCUUCCCAGCACCCCAAUCCUGCCACCCAAAAAACCUGUUAUUGCACCCGCUGAACAUCCCGUUUCCUCCUCCCGCUGUUGCUACCCUUGAGCCAGCACUGCCACCACCACUGCCACCAUCUCCUCAGACUCUCCCCAAAAAGAGUUUGGAUGGUGUGGUGCUGACUGAGACAUCAUUUGCCGGGGCGAACCCCGUCACUCGCUCCCUUUCCUCUGCCACGCAUCCGCGAGUCAGCAACGGUGGGGUUGCCGCACCUGUUGUGGUCAAGCGCACGUUGUCCAACUGCACAUCCAGCCAGC